GCAAGAGGAAGACGAUGGCAGUCGGCCGGUUUCCAAAACCGUGCAGUUGGGGUUCGAUUCCCUACUUUUGCGCCA
rnacentral:tRNA from 1 species